rnacentral:rRNA from 1 species
UGGGGGAUAUUGCACAAUGGGCGAAAGCCUGAUGCAGCGACGCCGCGUGGGGGAUGAAGGCUUUCGGGUUGUAAACCUCUUUCGCUAUCGAACAAGGCCCGCUUAGGGUGGGUUGAGGGCAGGUGGAGAAGAAGCGCCGGCUAACUACGUGCCAGCAGCCGCGGUAAUACGUAGGGCGCGAGCGUUGUCCGGAAUUAUUGGGCGUAAAGGGCUUGUAGGCGGCUUGUUGCGCCUGCUGUGAAAACGCGGGGCUUAACUUCGCGCGUGCAGUGGGUACGGGCAGGCUUGAGUGUGGUAGGGGUGACUGGAAUUCCAGGUGUAGCGGUGGAAUGCGCAGAUAUCUGGAGGAACACCGAUGGCGAAGGCGGGUCACUGGGCCAUUACUGACGCUGAGGAGCGAAAGCAUGGGUAGCGAACAGG